rnacentral:rRNA from 1 species
GAUCAUGGCUCAGGAUGAACGCUAGCUACAGGCUUAACACAUGCAAGUCGAGGGGAAACGACAUCGAAAGCUUGCUUUUGAUGGGCGUCGACCGGCGCACGGGUGAGUAACGCGUAUCCAACCUGCCCACCACGUUGGGGAUAACCUUGCGAAAGUAAGACUAAUACCCAAUGAUAUCUCUAGAAGACAUCUGAAAGGGAUUAAAGAUUUAAUCGGUGAUGGAUGGGGAUGCGUCUGAUUAG